CUCAGUUGGUAGAGCAGUUGACUUUUAAUCAAUUGGUCGCAGGUUCGAAUCCUGCACGACCCACCAAUCGUUCGGUGGAAACGAGAAUAAAGCGUGAAGGAUAACGUUGCGUCAGCAACGGCCCGUAGGGCGAGGCGAAGCCGAGUCAUCCUGCACGACCCACCG
rnacentral:sRNA from 1 species